rnacentral:rRNA from 1 species
AUGAUGGUUGCUUCAUCCCUCCAACUUCUUUUUUUAGCAUUAUUACUUCGUCAGAUAAACACAAAUUUACGCAGGCGCGACAAGACUCCACCCCGUGCACGGGAAUCACCUGGUUGUGUAUGUGUCUGUCAGGGCCUGAUGUGUGCGCAUGCAUGUGUACUUGCGCGUGAGAGUGUGUGUUGGUCGUGUGGUGUACUAGUGUGUGCAUGCAUGCGUGCGUGUGUGCUGUGA